rnacentral:tRNA from 1 species
GCAUUUUCGUUGAAAAUCACCAAAAAAAUUCUGACUACGAAUCAGAAGGUCGGGGGUUCGAGUCCCUUCCAGCGCACCA